rnacentral:tRNA from 1 species
GGGCUCGUGGCUUAGCCUGGUUAUAGCACCUCGCUUACACCGAGGGGGUCACCGGUUCAAAUCCGGUCGAGCCCA